rnacentral:rRNA from 1 species
AGAGUUUGAUCAUGGCUCAGGACGAACGCUGGCGGCGUGCUUAACACAUGCAAGUCGAACGAGAAUCUGAUGAGGGAGUUUUCGGACAACUGAUUCAGAGGACAGUGGCGGACGGGUGAGUAACGCGUGAGGAACCUGCCUUUCAGAGGGGGACAACAGUUGGAAACGACUGCUAAUACCGCAUGACACAUCGGAGUCGCAUGGCUCUGAUGUCAAAGAUUUAUCGCUGAAAGAUGGCCUCGCGUCUGAUUAGCUAGUUGGUGAGGUAACGCCCACCAAGGCGACGAUCAGUAGCCGGACUGAGAGGUUGAACGGCCACAGUUGGGACUGAGAUACGGCCCAGACUCCGUACGGAGCA